GGGGGGGGGGGGGGGGGGGGCGGGGGGGGGGGGGGCGGGCGAACGGGCGCGGAGCUUGCUUCUCUGAUGUUAGCGGCGGACGGGGGAGGAACACGUGGAUAACCGACCUAUAAGACUGGGAUAACUUCGGGAAACCGGAGCUAAUACCGGAUAAUAUGUUGAACCGCAUGGUUCAAAAGUGAAAGACGGUCUGGCUGUCACUUAUAGAUGUAUCCGCGCUGCAUUAGCUAGUUGGUAAGGUAACGGCUUACCAAGGCAACGAUGCAUAGCCGACCUGAGAGGGUGAGCGGCCACACUGGAACUGACACACGGUCAAGACUCAUACGGGAGGCAGCAGUAGGGAAUCUUCCGCAAUGGGCGAAAGCCUGACGGAGCAACGCCGCGUGAGUGAUGAAGGUCUUCGGAUCGUAAAACUCUGUUAUUAGGGAAGAACAUAUGUGUAAGUAACUGUGCACAUAUUGACGGUACCUAAUCAGAAAGCCACGGCUAACUACGUG
rnacentral:rRNA from 1 species